UACAGAGGUGGCAAGCGUUGUUCGGAAUUACUGGGCGUAAAGGGCGCGUAGGCGGUCCUGUAAGUCCCGCGUGAAAUCCCCCGGCUCAACUGGGGAACUGCGCGGGAAACUGUGGGGCUUGAGUUCGGGAGAGGGAAGCGGAAUUCCGGGUGUAGCGGUGAAAUGCGUAGAUAUCCGGAGGAACACCGGUGGCGAAGGCGGCUUCCUGGACCGACACUGACGCUGAGGCGCGAAAGCUAGGGGAGCGAACGGG
rnacentral:rRNA from 1 species